CUUUAAGUAAUCCAGUUCACAAAUUAGGUCAGAGGUCUUUGGAAGAUAUAAAAUUAAGAAUGCUUCUGCAUCAAUGUGAGUGAAUCAAUCAUCCUUAAAGGUGUACAGCUCUUUGAGGGAAAACCAUUCUCAGAAUUGGCAAUUUAACAUUGGCAUUAAUUGGUCUUCUUUCUGUGAGGCACAGUGCUUUAACAGACUUAUCUAGGAACUAAAGUAAUCUGCCCCCAGCCCUGUAUCUAUCUGGAAAUGAGAAGCUUCUUUCAAAAAAAUUGCUUGCCUUUUCUCUAGCAACACAAAUCUCCUCUUAUCUGUAUCCAUGAAAAUAUGCCAGUUAAUUCACAAAAGAGAAAGAAAAUAUACUUUCUUGAGAGAGCAUCAAUAUUAGAGAAACACAUUCAAGGGAUGAUUUAGGCUAUUUUUCUGAAUAAUUUAAUCAUCUGGCCAUAUGAGGCCUGUUUCAAAAUAAUAACCUCUUCACAAAUAAAGAGGUCCUGAAAUAAUCUAUGUGUAUCAUUCAUUCCACUCAAUUCUAUAAUUUUGUGGAUUUUGUGUAUAGUUCUAUGAUGAGGAAUCUGAUAAAUAAUACAAUGCUAGCAUGUUAGAGCUGGAAGAGACAUUAGAACUUAGAAUUUCAGAGCAUAGAAUGUUAGGGCGCUAGGGAUCUUCAAAUAGAAUGUUGGAGCUGAGGGAAAUCUUACACUUAGACUGCCAUAGCUGGAAUGGACCUUCAAAUAUAUAUUGUUGGAAUUGAAAAAGUUUCUUAAACAGUGUACUACUGUUAGUGCCAAAUGGGACUUAGAAAAUAAGACUUUAAGAUGGAGAUCAUAGAUAGAAUUAGAAGGAACUUUGAAAGAUACAAUGUGAAAACUGGAAGGGAUCUUAGAGAUGAGGUGGUACAGAAGAAAAAAAGUUUGGUUCUGAAAUCAGAGAGUAUGGGUUUCAAUUUCAUUUCUGAAACCUACUUUCUGACCUCAGUGAAUGUAUUAAAGAGAAAGAGAGAGAGAAGGCUAUGGAGAUGGAGAGAGAGAGAGAGAGAGAGAGAGAGAGAGAGAGAGAGAGAGAGAGAGAGAGAGAGAUCCAGACUUGUUUUUUGCUUCUAUCAAUACCACUGUUUUGCUGCUCAAGCUAAAAGAAAGCCUCAUGAAAGAAUUAGUCUGACAUUCAAGGAUGAACACAGGAGGAAAAGCCCUAAUGCACCAUGAACGUUGAAUUGAUUUUGCACUGAUGUGUACUUCCAGUAUGAUGAUUGGUAUUUGUAAAAUAUAGAGUCUGUCCCCAAAUUGCUUACCUCAGUCACCUUCACAGAUCCUGGAAGUCAAAACCAGGGAAAAUGCUGAGAAGCCUAGGAAAAAGGGAAACAAAAGAAAGCAAAACAUAACAAUGACAAGAAUUACUCUGACAUCCACAGGAGGUGAGCAUUUUGCUCUCCUACACUCGGGAAAAAUGUUAUCUCAAUACAAAUAACAUAAUGCAGAGAAAGAACAUAUAUACAACAGAGAAAAUAAUGCCUCUUUCUACUGAUCCUUCAAUUACCUGGAGUGAGUCUCCAUUCUUGGGGAGUUAUCAUCAGGAAGCAUGGGAACAGUUCUAGCAAGCCAUUAUGCUGGUAAGUCAUUCAAUCUCCCCCAUUUCAAUUUUCCUGAAUGUAAAGGGCAUCUACUAGCUUGACAAGUUGCCUAUUUGUCUCAAUCAAAGACUUGUCUUUGAGAUUGAAAACAUUACAUGUAUACACUUGUAUUAUUUGUCUCUUAAAACAGCUACAGCAUGUUUUUAACCAAUGAGGACCAUUGCUCAUGGAGGGGAUAUGCCUCCCUGUAGUCCAGUGAAGUGAUUAACAGGCUUAGUUUUGUAGUUUAAAAAUGCACUAUGAAACUCCUCAUCACUGUCCUCUGCCAAAGUAAAUACUGACUUUUUAGAAACUUCACAGGUAAAAUGAUCACACACAUAUAUCCAUGCACACAAAUAUACCCUUAAGCUGAACCCAAAAGGAAAAGCCUUUUUUUAAUGUAAUGCCCACAAUAUUUGUCUAUGAGACUAUUAUUUUUCAAUGAAAUAGGAAAUUAAUAAUGAUUGAUAAACAGCUAUUAUCCUGUAUGAAAGGAUUAAUAGUGCAACUAAUUUUAGCAG
ensembl:lncRNA